UACGAAGGGGGCUAGCGUUGCUCGGAAUCACUGGGCGUAAAGCGCACGUAGGCGGCUUUUUAAGUCAGGGGUGAAAUCCUGGAGCUCAACUCCAGAACUGCCUUUGAUACUGAAGAUCUCGAGUCCGGAAGAGGUGAGUGGAACUCCGAGUGUAGAGGUGAAAUUCGUAGAUAUUCGGAAGAACACCAGUGGCGAAGGCGGCUCACUGGUCCGGUACUGACGCUGAGGUGCGAAAGCGUGGGGAGCAAACAGG
rnacentral:rRNA from 1 species